CAGAGAAAAUGCUCUGAGCUGCUAGGACAGCAGUUUAGCCUCGGGGCUUUGACUAAAUAAAUAAGGGGGACCCCUCCCCCAUCCUGAUCCUUUUAUUUUUCAAAGACAGGUCUUUCCACCGGUGCUGAAGCCUACGGGGAGGACUCUGGCUGCUGCUGCCACCGCCAUGGGCAGCUGGGGGCCUCCCUCUCUCCAGCCCGAUUAAAUCACACUGCGAUUGAAGAUCUACUCUGUGACAUUAAAGAUAAGGAUGUGGAGGUCCAGAGACAUGAGGC
rnacentral:lncRNA from 1 species